GCAUUCUUAGCUCAGUUGGAUAGAGCAACAAAAAAAACAACCUUCUAAGUUGAAGGUCACAGGUUCAAAUCCUGUAGAAUGCU
rnacentral:tRNA from 1 species